GAUCUAACAGAAUGAAUGGUUACGCUAGGAAUCAGACAAAGACUGGAGGUGAACAGUUUGGUAAAGUGAAGUCAAAAUGGAAAUCGUGCUGGCAGUCAUGAGGAACAAGGCCAAGCAUUGGGUCCAUCCAUGGCCAGGAGACAGAGACUGAGACAUCUGAGCAACUGCUUUCACAUAAGGCAGCCUGCUUCUGGACAUGGGGAAGCCAGAGAAAGAGAAGGAGGUUGAGGGGGAGCCUCAAGCUGUUCCCGAGGCACCAUUGACAUCCAGGGUAGAUGGGAUCUACCGGUAGUUGAUUGUGUAGGACACCAAGAUGAAACCCAGCG